UAAAAAAAAACAAAAUCAUAGCCAGGCAAGAUGUGACAGGAACACAGGAGCACCUUUCUUUGCAGCUAUUUCAGCUUUGAAAGUAGGAGCCGAUCGGUCUCAUGUGUUCUCAUGCGGCUCUGGUCAUCAAGUCCUACAGUCCUGAUCUUAUCGUCCAUCCAGUGCUAGACAGUCCCAAUGGUGUGGAGGAGAUUGAGAAAUGGCUGCCCAGCUUUCACAGUCUGGUUGUGGGACCAGGUCUGGGGAGGGAGGAUGUGCCUCUGAAGAAUGCCACGGCGAGAGAAACAAUACUUUGAAAACGUCUUAUUACUUCUGUCAGGUAUUUAAGUCAAUACUGAUAUGCAAUGCAAAAAGCAUGGAUAUCUUUUUUUUUUUAAAGAUGCAUUUCUUUCUGAAUCAUUUCUAUAGUUCUAUAGUUGAUCUAAAAGCCGUUCACACCAAGAACAAUAACUGUAGCGAUAACUACAAUGAUACGGCAAGUCACACAUUCAUUUUUUACUUUAGAAUUCAACCAUGCAUCUUGAAGUUGGUUGAGAGAAAGUGAUGUUGAAGAAGCUUAAAUGUUAUGUUUAUUGGGUCAUUUAUGUGGUCACUACACUUUUGCCAUACUGCUAUGUGUAUUAGAAAACGUGAAAAGUGUCCACACUUGUGUAAAUUAAGACAAUCAUUUUGAAAAGUGUAUUUCUAGCACUUUGGAAAUAGAGUUAUAUUUUAAUAUAUUAUUUUUAUUUUGUAUUUAAUGAUUAUUAUAUAAUGUUUGUAGUUUAGGACUGGGGCAUCCAUGAAUAUCUUUAUCAGGGUACAUUGUCUUCCUGUCAUGGCCGUCACUGAACUUCCUGUCGUUCCUGUCAUUACUUACACUAUUUUCUUUUGC